UACGUAGGCAGCAAGCGUUGUUCGGAGUUACUGGGCGUAAAGAGUGCGUAGGUGGUGCCCUAAGUCUGUUGUGAAAUCUCCCGGCUUAACUGGGAGGGUGCGGUGGAAACUGGGGUGCUUGAGUGUGGGAGAGGUAAGCGGAAUUCCUGGUGUAGCGGUGAAAUGCGCAGAUAUCAGGAGGAACACCCGUGGCGAAGGCGGCUCUCUGGGACGGUACUGACGCUGAGACGCGAAAGCGUGGGGAGCGAACAGG
rnacentral:rRNA from 1 species